CUCGCCACUUCGGUCAGGUAUAGUCUUAGCAUGUCUACUCAAGGAACUAAUGGUAGUGGAGUGCAAGGAUCUAAACGUCCUCGUCAAUCUGGGAGUAGACCACCGACUCCAUCUUCAGGUGGCGGAAAUGGUGCUGCAUCAGAGGAAACAGCAACACAAGGUACUAAUACUACUGAUGUGGUAGAAAUAGAAGAUGAUGGUGAUGGAAAAGUUGGGAAUAAGAAGAAGAAAUCUAAGAUUUGGGAUGAAUUUACU